UACGGGGGGGGCAAGCGUUGUUCGGAAUUACUGGGCGUAAAGGGCUCGUAGGCGGCCAACUAAGUCAGACGUGAAAUCCCUCGGCUUAACCGGGGAACUGCGUCUGAUACUGGAUGGCUUGAGAUUGGGAGAGGGAUGCGGAAUUCCAGGUGUAGCGGUGAAAUGCGUAGAUAUCUGGAGGAACACCGGUGGCGAAGGCGGCAGCCUGGACCAACACUGACGCUGAGGAGCGAAAGCCAGGGGAGCAAACGGG
rnacentral:rRNA from 1 species